GACGAACGCUGGCGGCGUGCUUAACACAUGCAGGUCGAACGGAAAGGCCCUGCUUUUGUGGGGUGCUCGAGUGGCGAACGGGUGAGUAACACGUGAGUAACCUGCCCUUGACUUUGGGAUAACUUCAGGAAACUGGGGCUAAUACCGGAUAGGAGCUCCUGCUGCAUGGUGGGGGUUGGAAAGUUUCGGCGGUUGGGGAUGGACUCGCGGCUUAUCAGCUUGUUGGUGGGGUAGUGGCUUACCAAGGCUUUGACGGGUAGCCGGCCUGAGAGGGUGACCGGCCACUUUGGGACUGAGAUACGGCCCAGACUCCUACGGGAGGCAGCAGUGGGGAAUAUUGCACAAUGGGCGGAAGCCUGAUGCAGCAACGCCGCGUGCGGGAUGACGGCCUUCGGGUUGUAAACCGCUUUCGCCUGUGACGAAGCGUGAGUGACGGUAAUGGGUAAAGAAGCACCGGCUAACUACGUG
rnacentral:rRNA from 1 species